rnacentral:rRNA from 1 species
AACGAACGCUGGCGGCAUGCCUAACACAUGCAAGUCGAACGAGACCUUCGGGUCUAGUGGCGCACGGGUGCGUAACGCGUGGGAACCUGCCCUUAGGUUCGGAAUAACUCCCCGAAAGGGGUGCUAAUACCGGAUAAUGUCUUCGGACCAAAGAUUUAUCGCCUUUGGAUGGGCCCGCGUUGGAUUAGCUAGUUGGUAGGGUAAAAGCCUACCAAGGCGACGAUCCAUAGCUGGUCUGAGAGGAUGAUCAGCCACACUGGGACUGAGACACGGCCCAGACUCCUACGGGAGGCAGCAGUGGGGAAUAUUGGACAGUGGGAGAAAGCCUGAUCCAGCAAGGCCGCGUGAGUGAUGAAGGCCUUAGGGUUGUAAAGCUCUUUUACCCGGGAUGAUAAUGACAGUACCGGGAGAAUAAGCGCCGGCUAACUCCGUG